GAUGACAGAGUCUUUAUUUAGCGAUGUUAACUAGUCCUUGAACCACUGAGACCCGUCUGAGUCUGAAUCAGGCCUUUUUCAGUAUUGGUGUCUCCUGGAUGCGGCGGGUAAAAAUAUCUGCGAUCAACAUAUUUUGAUUACUGAAGUGGAACAUUCCAGAAAUUCCCUUCCGCAAACUCACAAGGAUGAAAAAUUCUGGAGCGUUUUACAGAACACAGUCGCCUGAUGACAAACAAACUGCGUUCGGCUACACAGACACGGGAGACAUUUAUUAGCAGCAGGAGUUUUAUUGAAAUAUCAAACAGUUCUGCAUUCAGUGACAGAGACGAUUCUGUCGGCUGGAAGUAAACUGAAGCUGCAGGCCUGUAAAAUAAAGUUCCGCUCCCGUCUGCCUUUGGAGGAAAACAUAUGUUCGUUGAAGUUCAAGAUGGAUGCUCUCGGAUGGAUUGGUUGUCACUCAAUGUACUCAUUGUGGGAAGUGCUGACGUUGUUUUGAGAAGAUGGUCAGUGCUUUUUGAUUCAGUUCUGGG